CCGUGACUGUAAUCAAAAGCAAUUCUAACGAAAGUCAUGUAGUGAUAAACAAACCUAAAAAAGUUAGUGCUGGAUUUGAGACAACAAGUAAUAAUCAAGAUCAAUUCCCGUCGGGAGCAGUUGAAAGAGGAAACGUAAUCGAGUUGUGGUGGUCAAGAAAUAUGGAGUUAGGGCAAAGAGAACGGACUUAGAGAUGGAGCCUCUUCCUUUAGAUGAUGAUGAGGAUGACGAAACUGUAUUUGAUGUUAGCAAUAUUAAUAAUAGAUAAUAUAUGUAA